CUUUAAUCCUAUCUUUGUUAAAGGGAUUAGCUAUGGGGUGGGGAAGACAUAAAAGCGUAGAAAGAACCAUUCUUUGUUAUGUUAUGAAGGUAAGAAAAGGAGGAGGGAUGAACAGCCGAGAUACUUGGAAUAAUUCUACCAUCAACCCCAAAAUUUUAAUUAGCCCACUUCUACAUGGAUUGGAGGAGAGAAGAUGAGAUAGUAGAAGAACUCUGUACAGCAGUAAUUCUUGUUCUCACUUUAACUUUCCCUCCAAAUUUCUGUUUUUAUCCAAAAUACCAUGGAGAUAGAGGAAUUAAAUGGUGGCUAUUGUGUUUAGAGUGAAACAUGACCAAACAGUUUGCUUAUGAGUAUAAACUGCAAGUGGUCUCCUGAGAAGAAACCAACAUUAGGUAACUGAUUUUGAUUGGAAUAGGAUGCUGGACAGGUCUUUUGGGGAAAUAGAUAAAUAAGUGAGUAGCGAUGAGCCAGGAAGAUUUGGACAGCAGCUUUGGUGGCUUUAUUGAAUGUGGAGCUGUCCAACUAAAUGAACUAUUUUUGCAUUGUCAAGUGGCCAGAAGAUAAGAGGCUAAUGGAAUAUUGGAUGAAGAGUUCAGUGGUCAUGAGGCUGCAAGAAUGAUUUGCGCAGCAGCAGACCUGGUGAUAUUGAAUAUGCUGGUAAUCAUGGAUUCAUAGCAAAGGAUGGAGAUUAAGGAGUAAGGACAACAUUGUCAAGGACUGGGCUCAUUUUUUCCUUUUGUCGUUGUCAGAAGGCUAGUGUUGCCAAGCUGGAAACUUUGGUAUCUGUAUCGACUGACAAGCUGGAGCUAAGGGUCUACGGUUUCAAUGACAAGCUUCCAGCUCUGUUGUCAAAGAUUUUGAAAACAACCGAAAGUUUCAUGCCAAUUUCUGAUCGUUUUAUGGUUAUUAAAGAAGAUAUGGAGCGAAAGUUAAAGAACACCAAUGUGAAGCCUCUGAGUCACUCUGCAUACUUGAGAGUGCAAGUUUUGUUCCAGAGAUUGUAUGAUGUUGAUGAGAAGUUGCACAUUUUAAGUGGACUUUCUAUUUCUGAUGUGAAGUCAUUUAUUCCUCAGCUUUGGUCCAAGGUGUACAUUGAAGGCCUCUGUCAUGGAAAUUUGUCAGAAAAAGAAGCAGUCAGGCUUUCAGAUAUAUUUAAAACAAAUUUUGGUGUACAACCACUUCCAAUUGAACUGAUGCGUAGUGAACAGUGUAUUUGUCUUCCUCCUUCUGCUAACCUCAUUAGAGAUGUCAGUGUGAAGAAUAAGUCUGAAACAAAUUCGGUGAUUUAGCUUCAAAUUGAGCGGGAAUUGAGGAUCGAGUCCCUCAGAUUGAGAGCCCUGAUAGAUCUUUUCAAUGAAAUUGUGGAGGAACCACUUUUCAAUCAGCUAAGAUCUGGAAAUAGGACGAAGGAGCAGCUUGGUUAUACUGUUCAUUGUGGCCCGUGGGUUACUUGCAAUAUAUUUGGAUUUUAUUUUUGCGUUCAGUCAGCUGAGUACAACCCAAUCUACUUGAGGGACAGUUGAGAACUUUAUAAAUAGACUGGACGAGUUGAUGCAAUGACUGGAUGAUGCCUCUUUUGAGAAUUACAGAGCUGGGCCAAUUGCAAAGAUCCAUCCCUCCAUUAUGAAACCAAUCGAUAUUGGUUACAGAUUACCGAUAAAAUGUAGUGUAUAUAUCCUCUCUGCCUGCUGGAAUGCUUUGCCUAGACCUUUCUAAUGCUCGUGCUCUGAACUAUUCAAAUAAAUGUUGAUCUGCAAGUAUAUGUUUGACUAUACAAAACAGGAAGCAGAAUGACUCAGAAGCAUUCAGAAGGACGAUGUCAUGAACUGGUACAAAAACAAAUUUGCAACAGUCAUCUCCCAAGUGUCGGAGACUGACUUGCAAUUCGUGUUUGGGGAUGCGAAACAGACUUGAAAUAUGCUGAAGCACGGCCGGAGUCUGUACAAGUCAUUGAAGACCUUGCAGCCUUUAAGAUGCCUUUAAAAUGCUCAGUUGUUGAACAUUUGUAGAUGGUUUCUGAAUUUUUGAUGGAAACUGAGCAUUUUGAGGUCUUAUUGUUUGCCAGGUAUUAUUUGCGUUGAUUACAACCCACCUGGAGGAUGAAAGUGAAAAUCAAAACCAUUGUAGAUACAUUGAUAUAAAAAAUUAUAUUAAUUCACUCAAUUUUUUUUAGUGAAAAUAUAUUGCUGGUUUUUUUUUUU